GAUGAAGAACGUAGCGAAAUGCGAUAAGUAAUGCGAAUUGCAGAAUUUCCGUGAGUCAUCGAAUCUUUGAACGCACAUUGCGCCCGCCAGCAUUCUGGCGGGCAUGCCUGUUCGAGCGUCAUUUCAACCCUCGACUUCCCUUUGGGGAAAUCGGCGUUGGGGACCGGCUGUAUACCGCCGGCCCCGAAAUGAAGUGGCGGCCCGUCCGCGGCGACCUCUGCGUAGUAAUCCAACUCGCACCGGAACCCCGACGUGGCCACGCCGUAAAACCCCCGACUUCUGAACGUUGACCUCGGAUCAGGUAGGAAUACCCGCUGAACUUAAGCAUAUCAAUAAGCGGAGGA
rnacentral:misc_RNA from 1 species